CAGGCACUUUUAUUUGCUUGAUCUUAUUUAUUUUUUCUUGGCUCAUGACAUUUGUCUAUGAUUUUGCCCCAUGUGACAAAAGAUUUGGACACACCUGGUGUCUGGUUUCAGCUGUGAAAUCCCCAAGUUUUCAAGUCCAUGAGGUGGCAGAGCUUUGUCUGCAGGCAUCACCAAUCCAUCCAUGAACCUUUCUUUGAACCUUUCUUUGAACCAUACUUUGAACCGAUUCAUGGACCGUCAGUAGUACCAGGCAUUGUGGGACUGGCUAAGUCUGUUCCAUGAUUGGCUUUUUGCCCUCCCAUCACUCUCUGUUGCUAUCAGAAAUGCUGAGUUGACCCUCUUUUUUCAGAGGCCCCAGCCCUGCACUCACCCUCCCGACCAGAACAGUUUGCGGCAUCCUAUUAUUCCACAUAGUUGUUUUUACAUCCUGGCUGAACUUUCCUGUGUGAGAGGAUCAUAUAUGUGUGUCUGCAAGGACACCAGGGGCAUAACCUAACAAAUGUGUGGGGUCAAUUGGUUUCCCAAAGGGACUCUACUGAGAAGCUGGCUCACCAAGUCACGGCCCAGAUUGCUGCUGCUGAUUGCAGGGUUAAAGAGGCCCCAGGUGACCCUCAUGAGGAGGAAAAGGAUGAAGCGCACAAAAGUAGCAAAGGCCACGUAAGCGAACCUGCAGCCGAAUGCCCCACUUCUGCUGAGUUCUUGACAGUGAGGAGUUGCUUAUGGAAAUCAAAGGAAAGGACAACCUUUGCGUAACAUAAAUGCUCCAAAAAGAACUAAAAUGCAACAAGUGCUAAACAAAAGGAAGACAGAGAACAAACUGAAGAGAUUGAGAUCUCCAGACUAAAUCAGAAAGCUUUCUUGACCACCCACUUCUGUCACUGUACUGACUGUGACUUUGUACAUCUUUCCUAUAGAUGUGUUGGUAGAUCGCCCCUGCUGUCAUUUUCCUAGUUUAACUCUAUCUGGUUUGAGUUCGUACGCAGCUCAAACUAGUUACUGAUUAAACUCUGUAUGUUUAACCCACCACUGUCUCACAUUCUUCAGUCAAUGCUUUUCAAAUAGCAAUUACUUCACUGCAUGAUAAUGCUUUGCAUACCAGUCACUACAACUGAUACUACUAAUACUACUACCACCAGGCCUGAUAACUAGGAGAAAAUUAAUUUACCAUUUUGUGCUCGAAUCUUCUUUCAUAUUCUUCCCCUGCUGUCUCUUACAUAUUAUAUAUAUAUUUUUAGUUUUUAUUUUAUUUCUUAAACCAGGGUUCAGAUAAUAUCCUUCUAUUGAAGGCUAACAGUGACACAAAUCUCCAAAAUUAAUGUUAUUUAAUUCAUUGUUACUAAUACAUUUUAAAUAUUGCCUAGAUAUAAAUAAAUAUUUCCUUCAAUAUAUUUUAAAGAUCUCAAUUUAUUACUUGGAGUGAUUAAAUUGGUGAAUCAAAUUAUAAUUUCAGCUGAAUAUAUAUUAAAAUCAUAUAUAAAAAUGUAAUUAUGUUUUUGUUUCCAGUGAUCCAGUACAUGUGAUGCAAAAUCAUUUAUGCCUACAGCACACUAAUUGGCUUUUCUACAGCAUAGUGUUAGUCCUGCUUAGUAAUUCUUUAUUUUAAAUUUUAAUGUUUUUUUAUUAUUAUUUAGCAUAAAGAAAGAUUAAAGUGUAACCAAAUCAACCUUCCUUUGAGACAGCUUAGCUCCGCCCCUUGACAAUUUUUCAAAUUCCACCGAAGUGGGUGGAGCCAAGAUACACAAAGGGGCGUGGCUUUGUGCGGGGCUGAGUGGAGGGGCUUUAGCAGGGCUAUGAACAGAACAAGAAAAAACACUUUUGCCAACUUAAUGAUUUUUGCAAUUAUAUUUAUCAACUCUUCGGACCCCUCUGGUGACUUUAGUUCCAAAAGAGCGACUAGUGAGAAGUUUAUUGACUUUUUUCUUCGUUAUU